ensembl:lncRNA
GUGCUGUAAUGGGGUUGUAUUUGUACUGGAGUCCCUCUGUGUCCAGACAUUCACUGUUUGAAUAGCAGCUGCAGCUUAAUGUGGCCAAGACCCUGCGAGCAGAUUGAAUAUUAUUGAUCAGCUCUUUGGGACGUACAGUCGGUCCUACAGGGCUACGGAAGCCUCAAGAAGUGUGUGUGUGUGUGUGUGUGUGUGUGUGUGUGUGUGUGUGUGUGUGUGUGUGUGUGUGCGUGCGUGCGUGCGUGCGUGCGUGCGUGCGUGCGUGCGUGCGUGCGUGCGUGCGUGCGUG